rnacentral:lncRNA from 12 species
AGGAUUUGGGCCUCCCCGCCCCAUACCUGGAUCUAGGUCCAGUGAUGGAGACACAGGGCAAAGAACACUAACAGAAUUAUUUUGACUCUGUAUACUUGUCGGGGCAUGCGCUUGUCACAGGAAGUCUGGAAUAAUCACUUCUCCUUUUCAGUGGAAGCUGCCUUGACAGAAAUGCAGGAUUGUUAGAUCUGCCCACCUCCUCUCAUUAGGCUGGAUUAUUUUGGCAUCACGCGUACAUUUACUUUGACUACAUGGAGGAGGAGUCACAUCCAAUAAUCAAUGUUUUUUUUCCCCCACAGAUAAUCAACAUUGUAGUCUGGAAACACGUAUUUUACAGUAUAUUUUAUUACUUCCACCAAGCUUAUAAAUAGGUCAUAGAAAUUGACUUUGAUCUAAAAAGUUUAUUAAUUAGGCAACUUGCUUUACUUAGGGAUUAAAAACAAAGAAUAAAUACAACGAUGCCUCAUUUCUUUCAAAAGGUUCCCCGGCCCUUUAAAUAAAAGCCGAACUACUUCGUUAUUUUAAAGAGGUCUAGGAGAGGAAGCUUUAAAAAUGUAAAACAAAACAGAAAACCCUUCUCUGUUUAAGGUACAUUAAGGUAUCAACAGCUGAAACGAAAGAUUAAAGGCAGUUAAUUAUCCUCCCGGGGCUUGGCACAGUGAGCCCGCCCGUUUGGGAUCAAGAUCCUGGCCGGGGCUCAUCUCUUUCAAGUUUCUCUCCUUUCUGCAACUUCCAAGUCCUCAUUAGACAGUUUUCACUUUUGGUUAUAUUUACAAUGAGUCAGUGCUGAAGAGGGCUGACUGAUGUGACCUGGGUGCGGUGUCCCAGAGCCCUGGCAUUCCCCGCUCCCGUCCUGGGCCACCCGGAGCAUCACUUAGAUUCCAACGGUGGUCCCGGCCUGAAGGAAGAUCCAGGGCCCAGCCUAAUCCAGAGUCAUCCCCGCAGAACCUAAGAAGAUGGCAGAAAGCUUGUUUGUCUGUUUUCCAUAAAGAUCAGCAGGUGCUGCAGCUGGACUUAGAAGACCUAGCGGGGUUCCUGACGGGCCUUGGCUGUGCGCCCCUGAGCCUCAGUCUUCCUCUCCUGGAAGAUGGGAACAGCAGGAGCUUUGGACCUGCCAGACAGGACUCGGAAGGAAGCCUGGGGCAUUUUUGUUGAUCCUCAGAGAUCGAGGAACAUUUCACUGUUUUUCACUCCAUAAAAAUUUUGGUGCAAGGUAAGUAAAAUGUGUUUCUCGACCUUAAGAAGUUCAUUGUUUAAUGAUAGAACCUAUUUUGGGGACAAAAAUUAUGGAGCCCCAGAAUUAAUCAUACACAUUAAGAUUGAAGGCAGUUUAAUAUAAUCUGUUUCAAUACAGUUUAAUCAAUUUAAUACAACUUAAACGACAUAUAUUUUUUUUGCACGAAUGAAAGAGUAAUGUCAACAUACAAUGUUUCCAUUUAAUUAUCUUAGAAGCGAUGGCAAUUUUUAUGCUUGUCUAAAACAGCCAUCGACGUGAAAUUAUAAAUGUGUCAGGAGGUAAAUGCCAGAAUUUUAUCCAUUUCCAUUAUUGGAAGCUAUGUUAUAUUUUCUUUUCUAAACUUUUUCUCUAUUUCCUUGAAAUAUUUAUGAAAAAUAGCAUUUCAUUGCCUCCAAAUUGCAUCUGAUAUUUCCAAAUACAUGAAGGCCAAAUCUUGAAUCAGUUGCUAUCAAUAGUUAAUUUAUGUAAUUUCUAAGCAUAGUGAAUUCACUUCAUAAAAAUUUUAUAUGCACAUAUAUUCUUUUAAAUAUUGCUAUUUCACUAAUUCAUUCAUUAAUUUAACAAAGAAUCUUUGCUAUUUUCCAGGGACUGUGCUAGGAAUUAUAUUUACUAUUUCACUAAUUCAUUCGUUAAUUUAACAAAGAAUCUUUGCUAUUUUCCAGGGACUGUGCUAGGAAUUAUAUUUACUCCCUUCAAGGAACGUGGAACAAAUAGCAGGGGUUUUUUUGUCUUAUGUUUUCUUUUCCCAAUAAAAAUAAUGAAUUGUGCA